GACAAACGCUGGCGGCGUACCUAAGACAUGCAAGUCGAACGGGUACGGACCCUUCGGGGUGGCGUGCUAGUGGCGGACGGGUGAGUAACGCGUAGGAACCUAUCGCACAGUGGGGGAGUACCACGGGGAAACCGGUGUUAAUACCGCAUGUGGUCAGCAAUGACGAAAGCAGCAAUGCGCUGUGUGCGGGGCCGUGCGUCCGAUUAGCUCGUUGGUGGGGUAAGGGCCUACCAAGGCGACGAUCGGAGCUGGUCUGAGAGGAUGGUCAG
rnacentral:rRNA from 1 species